GUGGGGAAUAUUCCGCAAUGGACGAAAGUCUGACGGAGCAACGCCGCGUGAGUGAUGAAGGUUUUCGGACUGUAAAGCUCUGUUGUUUAGGACGAAAGUGCCUGCUGCGAACAGUUGCAGGUAUUGACGGUACUGAACGAGGAAGCCACGGCUAACUACGUGCCAGCAGCCGCGGUAAUACGUAGGUGGCAAGCGUUGUCCGGAAUUAUUGGGCGUAAAGAGCAUGUAGGCGGGAAUCUAAGUCUGUUGUGAAAAUGCGGGGCUCAACCCCGUAUGGCGAUGGAAACUGGAUUUCUUGAGUGCAGGAGAGGAAAGGGGAAUUCCCAGUGUAGCGGUGAAAUGCGUAGAUAUUGGGAGGAACACCAGUGGCGAAGGCGCCUUUCUGGACUGUGUCUGACGCUGAGAUGCGAAAGCCAGGGUAGCGAACGGGAUUAGAUACCCCUGUAGUCC
rnacentral:rRNA from 1 species